GGAUGUAUUUGAUGAUUGAGUUCAUGAUUUUUAAAAUGAUGGUUAUCUAAGGCUUGUUGUGGUGAAAAUUUAGAGGUUUUGAGUUAUAAUAUGUGAUAGAUGAUGAAUAUAAUUUUUAUUGAUUAUUUGGAGCUAGUUAAAGAUUUAAAUUGUUUGUCUUGGAGAAAAUUAUGAUUUUGGUGUCAUGGGUCACUUGAUGAUGUUAUAAAAAUCUUGUGGGAAGCACUUGUAAAGUGUGGAGGUUUUGAUGUUAGAUAUGAUACCUUGAAAGAUUUAUGAGUAUAAAUGGGAGUCUAUGCCUUGCAAAUUAAAGUGUUUUGAGAAAUUUUGGAAGUAGAAUACAUUAUAUGUGAGGUUGAAUACUAGGCUUGCCUAAUUGAGUUCUUACUUGGCAAUUCCUAAUUUGUAGUUAGAUACAAUUUCAAGCUUUGUGUUCAUUGUGAUAGAUUUGCUUGACAUUGUUUAGGUUUUAGCUAAUCUCCCCUUGGAGCUUGGAGAAUUAGGAUUUUGCGGUUGCGAGAGUAGGCAACAAUCUUUUGAGACAGCUUUUUUGGUGGCUAAUAGUAGUUAGACUAACUACUGAUGGAGGCUGAAUUUUUGUAAUGGAUAUAUUAGAUGGUGUACAUCUUAGACUAGGCUUGACUCAUUCUUUUGUAUAUUAUAGUGGUUAUGACUGUAUUUCCACUGAUGGGACAAGCUGUUGUUAUGUAAUAGUUUUAUUCAGACCUCUAUUCUUUUGUGGCCUAUGGUCCUUAUAAUUAAUGCUUAGAGCUCUGACUUACUCU